rnacentral:rRNA from 1 species
CCUACGGGAGGCAGCAGUGAGGAAUAUUGGACAAUGGAUGGAAAUCUGAUCCAGCCAUGCCGCGUGCAGGAAGACGGCCCUAUGGGUUGUAAACUGCUUUUGUAUGGGAGCAAUAAGAUCUACGUGUAGAUUGAUGAGAGUACAAUACGAAUAAGCACCGGCUAACUCCGUGCCAGC